AGUGAACGCUGGCGGCGUGCUUAACACAUGCAAGUCGAACGAGAACGGAUUAUAGCUUGCUAGAAUUGUCAGCUAAGUGGCGCACGGGUGAGUAAUGUAUAGGUAAUAUGCCUCUUACUAAGGGAUAACAAAUGGAAACGUUUGCUAAUACCUUAUACUCCUUAUUAACAUAAGUUAAUAAGGGAAAGAUUUAUUGGUAAGAGAUUAGCCUGUAUUGUAUCAGUUAGUUGGUGGGGUAAUGGCUUACCAAGACUAUGACACAUAACUGGUUUAAGAGAAUGAUCAGUCACACUUGAACUGAGACACGGCCCAGACUCCAACGGGAGGCAGCAGGGGGGAAUAUUGAACAAUGGACGAAAGUCUGAUGCAGCACCGCCGCGUGGAGGAUGACACAUUUCGGUGCGUAAACUCCUUUUAUAUGAGAAGAUAAUGACGGUAUUAUAUGAAUAAGCACCGGCUAACCCCGUGCCAGCAGCCGCAGUAA
rnacentral:rRNA from 1 species